ACCAUCUUUGUCAUGGGGUGAUAGAGCUGUUCAAUGAACGCUAUAGUGAGAACAACUCUGCUAACACCAUGAACAACACUUACAGCAUCACCCAGGUAGCAAUACCUGGGCUAUGGUGCAAUUUUUGGAAAC